rnacentral:misc_RNA from 1 species
AGCAGCCGCGGUAAUUCCAGCUCCAAUAGCGUAUAUUAAAGUUGUUGCAGUUAAAAGCUCGUAGUUGAAUUUCGGGGUUAGUAGGUUGGUCAUGCCUCUGGUAUGUACUGGUCUCACUGAUUCCUCCUUCCUGAUGAGCCGUAAUGCCAUUAAUUUGGUGUUGCGGGGAAUUUGGACUGUUACUUUGAAAAAUUAGAGUGUUUAAAGCAAGCUAACGCUUGAAUACAUUAGCAUGGAAUAAUGAAAUAGGACGUUCGAUCCUAUUUUGUUGGUUUCUAGGAUUGACGUAAUGAUUAAUAGGGAUAGUUGGGGGCAUUAGUAUUCAAUUGUCAGAGGUGAAAUUCUUGGAUUUAUUGAAGACUAACUACUGCGAAAGCAUUUGCCAAGGAUUGUUUUCAUUAAUCAAGAACGAAAGUUAGGGAUCGAAGACGAUCAGAUACCGUCGUAGUCUUAACCAUAAACUAUGCCGACUAGGGAUCGGAUGAUGUUAAUUUUUAAUGACUCAUUCGGCGCCUUAACC